CUACGGGAGGCAGCAGUGAGGAAUAUUGCACAAUGGGGGGAACCCUGAUGCAGCAACGCCGCGUGGAGGAUGACGCAUUUCGGUGUGUAAACUCCUUUUAUAUGUCAAGAAAAUGACGGUAGCAUAUGAAUAAGCACCGGCUAACUCCGUGCCAGCAGCCGCGGUAAUACGGAGGGUGCAAGCGUUACUCGGAAUCACCGGGCGUAAAGGACGCGUAGGCGGGUUGGGAAGUCAGGUGUGAAAUCCUACAGCUUAACUGUAGAACUGCACUUGAAACUUCUAAUCUAGAGUAUGGGAGGGGGAGAUGGAAUUAGUGGUGUAGGGGUAAAAUCCGUAGAUAUCACGAGGAAUACCUAAGGCGAAGGCGAUCUCCUGGAACAUUACUGACGCUAAGGCGUGAAAGCGUGGGGAGCAAACAGGAUUAGAUACCCCGGUAGUC
rnacentral:rRNA from 1 species